rnacentral:rRNA from 1 species
AUUGAACGCUGGCGGCAUGCCUUACACAUGCAAGUCGAACGGCAGCACGGGAGCAAUCCUGGUGGCGAGUGGCGAACGGGUGAGUAAAGUAUCGGAACGUACCUUUCAGUGGGGGAUAACGUAGCGAAAGUUACGCUAAUACCGCAUAUUCUGUGAGCAGGAAAGCAGGGGAUCGCAAGACCUCGCGCUGAUUGAGCGGCCGAUAUCAGAUUAGCUAGUUGGUGAGGUAAAGGCUCACCAAGGCGACGAUCUGUAGCGGGUCUGAGAGGAUGAUCCGCCACACUGGAACUGAGACACGGUCCAGACUCCUACGGGAGGCAGCAGUGGGGAAUUUUGGACAAUGGGCGCAAGCCUGAUCCAGCCAUGCCGCGUGAGUGAAGAAGGCCUUCGGGUUGUAAAGCUCUUUCGGCCGGGAAGAAAUCGUGUGGGUUAAUACCCUGCAUGGAUGACGGUACCGGAAUAAGAAGCACCGGCUAACUACGUGCCAGCAGCCGCGGUAA